rnacentral:rRNA from 1 species
GAACGCUGGCGGCGUGCUUAACACCUGCAAGUCGAACGGAAAGGCCCUGCUUUUGUGGGGUGCUCGAGUGGCGAACGGGUGAGUAACACGUGAGUAACCUGCCCUUGACUUUGGGAUAACUUCAGGAAACUGGGGCUAAUACCGGAUAGGAGCUCCUGCUGCAGGGUGGGGGUUGGAAAGUUUCGGCGGUUGGGGAUGGACUCGCGGCUUAUCAGCUUGUUGGUGGGGUAGUGGCUUACCAAGGCUUUGACGGGUAGCCGGCCUGAGAGGGUGACCGGCCACAUUGGGACUGAGAUACGGCCCAGACUCCUACGGGAGGCAGCAGUGGGGAAUAUUGCACAAUGGGCGGAAGCCUGAUGCAGCAACGCCGCGUGCGGGAUGACGGCCUUCGGGUUGUAAACCGCUUUCGCCUGUGACGAAGCGUGAGUGACGGUAAUGGGUAAAGAAGCACCGGCUAACUACGUG